GACGAACGCUGGCGGCGUGCUUAACACAUGCAAGUCGAGCGGUAAGGCCCUUUCGGGGGUACACGAGCGGCGAACGGGUGAGUAACACGUGGGUGACCUGCCCUCAGCUCUGGGAUAAGCCUGGGAAACCGGGUCUAAUACUGGAUAUGACUCCAUGACGCAUGUUGUGGGGUGGAAAGCCUUGUGCGGCUGAGGAUGGGCCCGCGGCCUAUCAGCUUGUUGGUGGGGUGAUGGCCUACCAAGGCGACGACGGGUAGCCGGCCUGAGAGGGCGACCGGCCACACUGGGACUGAGACACGGGCCCAGACUCCUACGGGAGGCAGCAGUGGGGAAUCUUGCGCAAUGGGCGAAAGCCUGACGCAGCGACGCCGCGUGAGGGAUGACGGCC
rnacentral:rRNA from 1 species